rnacentral:rRNA from 1 species
AUUGAACGCUAGCGGGAUGCCUUACACAUGCAAGUCGAACGAGUGGCGGACGGGUGAGUAAUAUAUCGGAACGUGCCCAGUAGCGGGGGAUAACUACUCGAAACAGUAGCUAAUACCGCAUACUCUCGGAUCGGCCGAUAUGGGAUUAGCUAGUUGGUGGGGUAAAGGCUCACCAAGGCCACGAUCCCUAGCUGGUUUGAGAGGAUGACCAGCCACACUGGAAAUGAGACACGGCCCAGACUCCUACGGGAGGCAGCAGUGGGGAAUAUUGGACAAUGGGGGAAAGCCUGAUGCAGCCAUGCCGCGUGGAUGAAGAAGGCCUUCGGGUUGUAAAGUACUUUUAGCGGGGAGGCGUUAUCUGCAGAAGAAGCACCGGCUAACUCCGUGCCAGCAGCCGCGGUAAUUC